UACGUAGGGUGCAAGCGUUGUCCGGAAUUAUUGGGCGUAAAGAGCUCGUAGGCGGUCUGUCGCGUCGAAUGUGGAAAACCCGGGGCUCAACCCCGGGCCUGCAUUCGAUACGGGCAGACUAGAGUUCGGUAGGGGAGUCUGGAAUUCCUGGUGUAGCGGUGAAAUGCGCAGAGUAUCGGGAGGAACACCAAUGGCGAAGGCAGCUUGCUGGGACGGUACGUGACGCUGAGACGCGAAAGCGUGGGGAGCAAACAGG
rnacentral:rRNA from 1 species